rnacentral:snoRNA from 1 species
GCAAGUGCACUCUGUGUCACAAUGAUUAAACAACAACACAUGUGAAGACAAUUUUGAAGCUUGCCAGAUUAA